ensembl:snRNA U6 U6 spliceosomal RNA
GUGCUCGCUUCAGCAGCACAUAUACUAAAAUUGGAACGAUACAGAGGAGAUUAGCAUGGCCCCUGCGCAAAGAUGACACACAAAUUCAUGAAGCGUUCCAUAUUCUA